rnacentral:rRNA from 1 species
GUGGGGAAUUUUGGACAAUGGGCGCAAGCCUGAUCCAGCCAUUCCGCGUGCAGGAUGAAGGCCUUCGGGUUGUAAACUGCUUUUGUACGGAACGAAAAGCCUCUGGUUAAUACCCGGGGGUCAUGACGGUACCGUAAGAAUAAGCACCGGCUAACUACGUGCCAGCAGCCGCGGUAAUACGUAGGGUGCGAGCGUUAAUCGGAAUUACUGGGCGUAAAGCGUGCGCAGGCGGUGAUGUAAGACAGUUGUGAAAUCCCCGGGCUCGACCUGGGAACUGCAUCUGUGACUGCAUUGCUGGAGUGCGGCAGAGGGGGAUGGAAUUCCGCGUGUAGCAGUGAAAUGCGUAGAUAUGCGGAGGAACACCGAUGGCGAAGGCAAUCCCCUGGGCCUGCACUGACGCUCAUGCACGAAAGCGUGGGGAGCAAACAGGAUUAGAUACCCUGGUAGUCC